GACGAACGCUGGCGGCGUGCUUAACACAUGCAAGUCGAACGGAAAGGCCCUGCUUUUGGUGGGUGCGCGAGGGGCGAACGGGUGAGUAACACGUGAGUAACCUUCCCCUGACUGUGGGAUAACUUCAGGAAACUGGGGCUAAUACCGGAUAUGAUCUCCUGCUGCAUGGGGUUGGUUGGAAAGUUUGGGCGUUUGGGGAUGGACUCGCGGCUUAUCAGCUUGUUGGUGGGGUAGUGGCUUACCAAGGCUUUGACGGGUGGCCGGCCUGGGAGGGGGACCGGCCACAUUGGGCUUGAGAUAGGGCCAAGCCUCCUACGGGAGCAAGCGGUGGGGAAUAUUGCCCAAUGGCGGGAAGCCUGAUGCAGAACCCCGCGGUGCGGGAUACGGGCUUCCGGGUUGUAAACCGCUUUCGCAUGUGCCGAACCGGGAGUGACGGUACUGGGUAAAGAAGCACCGGCUAACUACGUG
rnacentral:rRNA from 1 species